rnacentral:rRNA from 1 species
UACGGGGGGGGCAAGCGUUGUUCGGAAUUACUGGGCGUAAAGGGCUCGUAGGCGGCCAACUAAGUCGGACGUGAAAUCCCCAGGCUUAACUUGGGAACUGCGUCCGAUACUGGAUGGCUUGAAUCCGGGAGAGGGAUGCGGAAUUCCAGGUGUAGCGGUGAAAUGCGUAGAUAUCUGGAGGAACACCGGUGGCGAAGGCGGCAUCCUGGACCGGUAUUGACGCUGAGUGAGCGAAAGCCAGGGGAGCAAACAGG